UGGCGGCAGGCUUAACACAUGCAAGUCGAGCGGGGGAAGGUGCUUCGGUACUGACCUUAGCGGCGGACGGGUGAGUAAUGCUUAGGAAUCUGCCUAUUAGUGGGGGACAACAUCUCGAAAGGGAUGCUAAUACCGCAUACGUCCUACGGGAGAAAGCAGGGGAUCACUUGUGACCUUGCGCUAAUAGAUGAGCCUAAGUCGGAUUAGCUAGUUGGUGGGGUAAAGGCCUACCAAGGCGACGAUCUGUAGCGGGUCUGAGAGGAUGAUCCGCCACACUGGGACUGAGACACGGCCCAGACUCCUACGGGAGGCAGCAGUGGGGAAUAUUGGACAAUGGGGGGAACCCUGAUCCAGCCAUGCCGCGUGUGUGAAGAAGGCCUUAUGGUUGUAAAGCACUUUAAGCGAGGAGGAGGCUCUUUUGGUUAAUACCCAAGAUGAGUGGACGUUACUCGCAGAAUAAGCACCGGCUAACUCUGUGCCAGCAGCCGCGGUAAUACAGAGGGUGCAAGCGUUAAUCGGAUUUACUGGGCGUAAAGCGCGCGUAGGCGGCCAAUUAAGUCAAAUGUGAAAUCCCCGAGCUUAACUUGGGAAUUGCAUUCGAUACUGGUUGGCUAGAGUGUGGGAGAGGAUGGUAGAAUUCCAGGUGUAGCGGUGAAAUGCGUAGAGAUCUGGAGGAAUACCGAUGGCGAAGGCAGCCAUCUGGCCUAACACUGACGCUGAGGUGCGAAAGCAUGGGGAGCAAACAGGAUUAGAUACCCUGGUAGUCCAUGCCGUAAACGAUGUCUACUAGCCGUUGGGGCCUUUGAGGCUUUAGUGGCGCAGCUAACGCGAUAAGUAGACCGCCUGGGGAGUACGGUCGCAAGACUAAAACUCAAAUGAAUUGACGGGGGCCCGCACAAGCGGUGGAGCAUGUGGUUUAAUUCGAUGCAACGCGAAGAACCUUACCUGGCCUUGACAUAGUAGAAACUU
rnacentral:rRNA from 1 species